UAGGGAAUCUUCGGCAAUGGGGGCAACCCUGACCGAGCAACGCCGCGUGAGUGAAGAAGGUUUUCGGAUCGUAAAGCUCUGUUGUAAGUCAAGAACGAGUGUGAGAGUGGAAAGUUCACACUGUGACGGUAGCUUACCAGAAAGGGACGGCUAACUACGUGCCAGCAGCCGCGGUAAUACGUAGGUCCCGAGCGUUGUCCGGAUUUAUUGGGCGUAAAGCGAGCGCAGGCGGUUUGAUAAGUCUGAAGUUAAAGGCUGUGGCUCAACCAUAGUUCGCUUUGGAAACUGUUUAACUUGAGUGCAGAAGGGGAGAGUGGAAUUCCAUGUGUAGCGGUGAAAUGCGUAGAUAUAUGGAGGAACACCGGUGGCGAAAGCGGCUCUCUGGCUUGUAACUGACGCUGAGGCUCGAAAGCGUGGGGAGCAAACAGGAUUAGAUACCCUGGUAGUCCACGCGGUAAACGAUGAAUACUAGGUGUCGGGGGACAUAGUCUUUCGGUGCCGCCGCUAACGCAUUAAGUAUUCCACCUGGGGAGUACGUUCGCAAGAAU
rnacentral:rRNA from 1 species